AUGAACGCUGGCGGCGUGCCUAAUACAUGCAAGUCGAGCGAACAGACGAGGAGCUUGCUCCUCUGAUGUUAGCGGCGGACGGGCGAGUAACACGUGGAUAACCUACCUAUAAGACUGGGAUAACUUCGGGAAACCGGAGCUAAUACCGGAUAACAUGUUGAACCGCAUGGUUCAACAGUGAAAGACGGUCUUGCUGUCACUUAUAGAUGGAUCCGCGCCGCAUUAGCUAGUUGGUAAGGUAACGGCUUACCAAGGCAACGAUGCGUAGCCGACCUGAGAGGGUGAUCGGCCACACUGGAACUGAGACACGGUCCAGACUCCUACGGGAGGCAGCAGUAGGGAAUCUUCCGCAAAGGGCGAAAGCCUGACGGAGCAAUGCCGCGUGAGUGAAGAAGGUCUUCGGAUCGUAAAACUCUGUUAUUAGGGAAGAACAAAUGUGUAAGUAACUAUGCACGUCUUGACGGUACCUAAUCAGAAAGCCACGGCUAACUACGUG
rnacentral:rRNA from 1 species